UACAGAGGUCCCAAGCGUUGUUCGGAUUCACUGGGCGUAAAGGGUGCGUAGGUGGCCGGGUAAGUCGGAUGUGAAAGCUCGGAGCUCAACUCCGAAAUGGCAUCGGAAACUACUCGGAUCGAGGGUUGGAGGGGGGACUGGAAUACUUGGUGUAGCAGUGAAAUGCGUAGAUAUCAAGUGGAACACCAGUGGCGAAGGCGAGUCCCUGGACAACUCCUGACACUGAGGCACGAAAGCUAGGGGAGCAAACAGG
rnacentral:rRNA from 1 species